rnacentral:lncRNA from 1 species
UCUCUCUCUCUCUCUCUCUCUCUCUCUCUCUCUCUCUCUCUCUCUCUCUCUCUCUCUCUCUCUCUCUCAAUUUUCAGGUUCCUGAGAAUGAGGUGGUGGAACUUUUCAGGUUCCUGAGAAUGGGGUGGUAGACAAGUCCCUUUCGUGAGGAAGUGUGGUCUGAGAGGAAGGAGCAUCACACUGUGCGCGCGAGAUGUGAUUUUGAACGCAUUACACGAUGAGAUGGUGGGAGAUCUGAGGUGUUAUAUGAGAGACAGAUCCCGUGCGGUCUGACUGUAAACCCACGCGGAAGAGAGACAGAGGGAGAGAGGGAUUACACUAAGGAAAAAGUUUAGACAAGGUGUCAACCUUAUACUGUACUGUAUCAAAAACUACUUGAAGAAGGUCGUUUCGUUAUUAAAAAAUUUCCUGAUUGAUAUUAAAAAAUUUC